GCAGUGGUGGUUCAGUGGUAGAAUUCCUGGCUUCCAUGAGGAAGACCCAGGUUCAAUUCCUACCAGUGCA
rnacentral:tRNA from 1 species